rnacentral:lncRNA from 1 species
CUAAGGUGGGGUUCAAUGCCGGGCAAAAGAUAAAGAGAUGUAUGGCUGAGGGGAGGAGAGAAAGAACGCAAUCAAGUUUUUAUUUCUAGUAUUAAAAUUCGCUAUAUUUUUGGAUAAAAACUUAUUCAGCCUUAAAAGAAUUUAUGCAAACAUUUAAUAAAAAAAAGAAAAAGAAACAUACUUUAGAGGAAUGAAAACCAUGAGACAAGAUAACAACGUCAGUGGUUGUUCCAGAUUGAUGUAAUAUGCCAACGAGUUUUUCACCGUUUUUGUUGGGUAUUAUGAUUCUCUGAUGAUGAUGAUGCUCAAUAGCCGAAACAACAAAUGAGAGAUAAAUGAUUAAUUCAUCAAUUCUCUGUUUUUCUUUGAAAAUUUUAAUGUAACGCAUACUGAAUUUUGGAAAAUAACUAACAUGUGUUUUGUGCAGCUAGGGACAUCUUCUUCACUUCAAUCUCUUGUUUUCAAGUUGCGUUUUGCUGCCAAAAAAUGCGAACAGUGCAAAGGAGUUUAUUUCUGAUACGGUUUAUGUGGAGUGCAGCAUGUAGUCAUGCAAUAAUGGAGUAUUCAAGACUCAAGAGUCAUAAUGUCACAUUACUUCUUUAGAGCAUGGUGAUACCACCUUUUAAAAUGAUUUAGGAUUUGUC